rnacentral:lncRNA from 1 species
GACCAUACAUGCACAUUUAUUUGUUCAGAUAAGACUUUUUCUAGCUUUCAGAGUGACUUGCCCUUACCUUGAAGUACUUUAUUCAGGCUUUUUGCACUUUAGAUCUUGCUUGAAGAAGUCACCAACCUUUUGACGUGAAGGUACACAUUUGUGAUACCCACCCCCAGUUACUCAGUUGGUCACCUUUCCAAGUGGCUACUAGCUCUGUUCUUAGUCUUUUGACCAUUGGAACAGUUUUUGAUUUGUGCUUUUGAGGUCUUUGCCUUUGCUGAAUUUUCUUUCUCUCAAUGAUUUGGGCAAAUCAACACCAAUUGCUAAAUCAAGUCACAUUAAGUUCAUUCACACAACUUUUAAUUUUUUUUCUCAUCAAUUGAGGGUCAUCAAUAUAUUUUUCACCAUUAGCAAGCUCAAAGAUUCAAUUCAAAAGGCAAUUCUCAAAUAUGAACACAACUCACUGCAAUUGAUUCAACAUAAGUUUAAAGAGUCAUAACAUCAAUGGG